GAUCGCCUGUUUAUCAAAAACAUUGCCUCUCGACUCAACAAUGAGAGGUUCAUCCUGCCCAAUGACAACAUAGUUCAAUGGCCGCGGUACCCUGACCGUGCAAAGGUAGCAUAAUCACUUGCCCCUUAAUUAGGGGCUGGCAUGAAAGGACACACGAAAGCUUCCCUGUCUCACAAUAACAAAUAAAAAUUAAUCUUCAAGUGAAAAAGCUUGAAUCAAACUGCAGGACAAGAAGACCCCGUUGAGCUUUAUUCUCUAUAGACUAAAUUAAAUAUUAAAUAUAUCAUAAACCUAAAAAGAAUUUAGUUGGGGUGACUAAGGAACACCAAAAACUUCCUUUUAUUAAUUAGGAUCAUUCUCCAUACAAAUUGACCCAUUACACAUGAUCAAAAAAAUAAGCUACCACAGGGAUAACAGGCUAAUCUUUCUCAAGAGCCCAAAUUGUCAGAAAGGAUUGGCACCUCGAUGUUGGCUUAGGGGCCCCUAAUGGUGCAGAAGCCAUAAAUGGUAGGUUUGUUCAACCUUUAAAACCCUACGUGAUCUGAGUUCAGACCGGAG
rnacentral:rRNA from 1 species